CGGCGAACGGGUGAGUAACGCGUGGAUAACCUGCCCUGAGGUGUGGAACAACCAAGGGAAACUUUGGCUAAUACCGCAUGAUACCGAGAGGUCAAAGGGGGCUCGCAAGGGCUCUCGCCACAGGAGGGGUCCGCGUACGAUUAGCUAGUUGGUAGGGUAAUGGCCUACCAAGGCGACGAUCGUUAGCCGGCCUGAGAGGGUGAUCGGCCACACUGGAACUGAGACACGGUCCAG
rnacentral:rRNA from 1 species